UACGUAGGGUGCAAGCGUUGUCCGGAAUUAUUGGGCGUAAAGAGCUCGUAGGCGGUCUGUCGCGUCUGCUGUGAAAACUCGGGGCUUAACCCCGGGCCUGCAGUGGGUACGGGCAGACUAGAGUGCGGUAGGGGAGACUGGAAUUCCUGGUGUAGCGGUGAAAUGCGCAGAUAUCAGGAGGAACACCGGUGGCGAAGGCGGGUCUCUGGGACGGUACUGACGCUGGAGA
rnacentral:rRNA from 1 species